rnacentral:tRNA from 1 species
GGAGAGGUGGCUGAGUGGACGAAAGCACCCGACUUGAAAUCGGGCGAGCCUACGGGCUCCGGGGGUUCGAAUCCCUCCCUCUCCGCCA